GUGCCAGCAGCCGCGGUAAUACGGAGAGUGCGAACGUUGUUCGGAUUCACUGGGCGUAAAGGGCACGUAGGCGGCUCAGCAAAUCAGUCGUGGAAUCCCGACGCUUACCGUCGGAACGGCGGCUGAAAAUACUGGGCUUGAGGGCGUGAGGGGUCACUGGAACUCCCGGUGAAGCGGUGAAAUGCGUAGAUAUCGGGAGGAACGCCGGAGGCGAAAGCGAGUGACUGGCGCGUUCCUGACGCUGAGGUGCGAAAGCUAGGGGAGCAAACAGGAUUAGAAACCCUUGUAGUCC
rnacentral:rRNA from 1 species